UUGAUGAUUGUUUUGUUCAUUAAGAGUGUUUCCUCUUGAAGAUUUCAUUUAUAUUGGUCUUCCAAUUCAUUCCCACAAGCGCAGCGGCGAAAACCUGUCACUGUGUGUGUGGGGAUUCACCCGAAAAUGAGGCUUCAUCGUUGGUUGUAUGUAUUUUUGUGCUUGGGGUACUAUUAAGAAGGGUGUAGUGGUUCUUUUAGAGAUGGGACACCAUGGAAAGAUUCCGGUCAGGUAGUCAUUGAAUCAUCUUUAUUACGCAAGUGGAUAGGCUCUUUUAGCAAUAUAUGUGUAUAUAUACAGUAUGUGUCCAGAGGAGCGUGGGUUUGUCCAAAGGGGUGUGUGUGUGUGUGUGUGUGUGUGUGUGUGUGUGUGUGUGUGUGUGUGUGUUUGUGGUCUUGUUGCGUCACACAACGCACACAAAUGACGGACACUUCAUUUUCAACAAGCAGGAUCGAAGCUAGCAAACUGCUCUCAGUGCUCAGCUAGCUUUUUUUUCUAAGAAUGGUGCAUUCACGUGCAUCACGUAACUCCUCGGGCACAAGUUGCCGCUGCAUUCACGGACACUUGGAAAUCACAGGAAACGCACCCAAACAUGCACAUGCGGCCCAAAUCGCGUGAUAUUUACAAAAACAACCACUUGCUGCUCAUAACAGUAAGGCAAUGUUACAAAAUCUUUUACUUAUAAAUAAUCAACAUUAAACAUUCGGACAGAUGCUGCUUUAUCAUCAUUGGUCAACUUUCCCCUUCAGUUUGGUAUAAAACGAAUAUGCACAAUUAAACAUAGCCAUCGUUAGUGGACAAAACAAGUGACGCUCAAACUGAAGCCAUUCAAAAUACACACUUUUGACCCGGAAUUACUAUAAAAUGAAUGAACCAAUGAAUUAUGUUCAAUAUACAUACAUACAUGACUUUGGGUCAAGUGUCUGAAGGGGGUGUACUACUGUAAAAAGCUUGGGAACCACUGAUGUAGAGGAUCUUUGAGUGGUGUUUUUAAAAAAAAAAAAUUUUUUUAAACAGCAGCGCGCUCCAUCUCAUAGAGCAGUGGUUCCCAAACCUUUUACAGUGGCGUGUGGGGAUGAAUUGGAAGACCAAUAUAAAUGAAAUCUUCAAGAAGAAACACUCAUAAUGCACAAAAUAAUCAUCAAACUUGCUUAUUUGUUCAUAUGAUGCACUCCGAGCAAUGAACAACUUGACGCUCUGUCUCCUUCCUGCUCGGGCCUCCUCUUGCCAUGAGGCGUUCAGGAUCUUUCGUAAUUAUCCGUGCUGAGUAUCCUCCAGUUGCUCUUGAUAAGACUCCGACCUUCAUUCCUGUUCCAGGUUCUUAUUCCUGAUGUACCAGGUAUGAUCCAACUGGUUGCCAGUCAUUUGGCGUGAUGUAACUCAUGAAGUAAGUGCCGGAGCAUGUUGCUCUGGGCAGUGUGAGCCCAACUGGUUCACAACCGAGGACUUGGCAAAGCGGUAGUGUGGUGGGAUCGUGGGAAGAGCACCUGACACCCACAUUUACCAGCCAAGUAAACUGGCACGUGUGCACGUGAACCUUUCUAUGUUCUUCCCCAGGAAGGCGCAGCGCUGCAGGUGGCGUAGAUGGGACCCAGGGCUUCGGCCCGUCCUGAGGGAGGAGACGUCGUCCUCAGGGGAGCUUCAAUCCCAGGGUCUACAUUGGCGCCAUGGGGCGUGCCGGAUGAGUUUAACGCUCGUAUUCAGGUGGGGCCGGAUAUGAACAAUAUUUGCUCUGGUGGGUCAUGGUCAAUAAAAAGAUAGCUUGGAUCAAUGACAUUACAUACAUUCUGUCCUGAUGGCCUGGCUGAGUAGAAUGUAGCGUAUAUAUGCAGUGUAGUCUGUACUCACUGCAUCAGAACCCUCAGUGAAAGGAUCACAGAUAGGAACACAAUUAAUAUGGCAUCUCUGUAUACUUAGCUAUUCAGUAAUCAUUUUAGAUCAUCUACCGUUACUCACUCAGUGUUUGGGUCAAUACUAUUUACAGUAUUCACACUACGUUUUACUUAGGUACAGAUAUUAAAGUUGCAGUUUGAUGUACUCUGGUCAAUUUAGAAUAAAUCAUUUUUAAAGGCAAUCAGGCUAGUAUUAGGUACACUAUUAGCUGUAGGAAAAGAUCGUUCCAGCAGAGAUGGCGCCUUCCCAGGCCUCAUCCGAGGAGCGAGACCACUGCGGCUGAAACGGCAUUCGAGGAAAGGAGCCAGUGUGAGCAGAAAAUGACGUCCAUCCGGGAGGCUGGCGACGUCCAUCCAGGAGGCUCCUACAUGUCUGUGAACGAGGCCCCACAUCACAAGGGGUCCCUCCAGAUGACAUCGUGCUGAUCAUCAGUGAGUGAUUGGAAAAAGGGACUGAAAAUGGCCAACACCGUUCUUACAUAAUAAUCCUCUGGGCGGUGAUAAUGUGAGCAGAAACAUUGCUCUCGACCCCCUCUACCUUGCCCCACACCGAGUCACUGCCCAUAACACUCUCCCCUCUCCCCCAUGCCCAUUGUUCAGGACAAGCAUGCAUCAAGAUCCCCACGAACUUGAUUCGAAAAAAUGGACAAGUCAAAAUGGUGCCGGGACAUUUCGAUUUGAAUGAGGGGUCAAGGCUGGUCAAAGAGACAUUUUGUUUGUUUUGGGGGUUUAGGACCCCCCCAAAAGGAGGGAUUAUAUUGUAAAAUGAUUCUUUUCCUGUGAACUCCAGAUUACUUUUUGUUUUGUGAACGCCAAUUGAACUCAUGAGGCCUACGUGACUUAGGGGGGGUCAACGGGACCUGACUUACACAAGAUGUUUUCCAGAUGUUACGUGAUUCCAAAAUGUCCUGCCAAAGGUUCCAAAUAAGGACGGUGUUCUGGUAAUCCACGUCAUUGUUAUUGUUCACUUGGUCUAUUUAAGGGCAAACGAAAUAAACGAGGUAGCCCUUCUGCCUCAACUGCA